GUACCGUUGCUUGCUACCCCAUAGGCUGUGAGUUGCGUACGGGUGACUAACGCGUAGGUAACCUGCCUAUUAGAGGGGGAUAACUAUUGGAAACGAUAGCUAAUACCGCAUAACAGUAUGUAACACAUGUUAGAUGCUUGAAAGAUGCAAUUGCAUCGCUAGUAGAUGGACCUGCGUUGUAUUAGCUAGUAGGUAGGGUAAUGGCCUACCUAGGCAACGAUACAUAGCCGACCUGAGAGGGUGAUCGGCCACACUGGGACUGAGACACGGCCCAGACUCCUACGGGAGGCAGCAGUAGGGAAUCUUCGGCAAUGGGGGGAACCCUGACCGAGCAACGCCGCGUGAGUGA
rnacentral:rRNA from 1 species